UGAGGAAUAUUGCGCAAUGGGGGCAACCCUGACGCAGCAACGCCGCGUGAGUGAGGAAGGUUUUCGGACCGUAAAGCUCUGUCGAGCGGGAAGAAAUGUAUCGUGGCUAAUAUCCAUGAUAUUUGACGGUACCGCUAAAGGAAGCACCGGCUAACUCCGGGCCAGCAGCCGCGGGAAUACGGGGGUGCAAGCGUUGUUCGGAAUUAUUGGGCGUAAAGCGCGUGUAGGCGGCUGAAUAAGUCAGAUGGGAAAUCCCUGGGCUUAACCCAGGAAGUGCAUUUGAAACUAUUCAGCUUGAGUAGGGGAGAGGAAAGUGGAAUUCCUGGUGUAGAGGUGAAAUUCGUAGAUAUCAGGAGGAACACCGGUGGCGAAGGCGACUUUCUGGCCCUAUACUGACGCUGAGACGCGAGAGCGUGGGUAGCAAACA
rnacentral:rRNA from 1 species